AUUCCCAAAGAAUCGUCCCAAAAAUUAGCCAAGACUUUGAAAAAUGAAAGUUUUAUGUGUAAAAAGUUUGCAGAAAAUUCCGAGUAAUCUCGAAACAGUCAAUUGCGAACGUGCAGUUUGGUCUUCGAUUAUUGCAGCGUCUCGUCCUCAUCAGAUUCGCCUUUUCCGAAUUAAUUGGCCGCAUUAGCCGAAGCGACGUCGUCAUCAGGAGCGACAUCGAUGGUAGUGCGUACAUGCUUUGAGAAGAGACAGAAGAAGCUAGCGUGCAGAGAGAGACAUAUAUUUGGGUGAGGAUUAGCAAUGGAUUAGUACGCAGUUACUACAGCGCCAUAUAUUUGGUUGACAAUUCUUCCAGAGUCCAGUUUUGAUUUAGCAGUGACUCGGGAAGGAGUGUUCCGUUCGAUCUACAAAUUUUUUAAAAUGUGCUUGACAAUCGUUAGUUUGUGAAAGUUUUUUAUCAUCGGAAAUUUUGUGAAUUCCGUAACUCGGAGGAUUUUUCAUCAGCACUGGUAUUUCGUCUUGGAUUUGACGGCAGUUCGGCUUCGGCGACAGAAGAGGCGACAUCGGGAGCGACAUCAGUAGCAAAGCGGGUUCCUCAGAGCGACGAUGGAGAGAGAGAGAACGAUGACCAUUGCGCGAUGCAAGCAAAUCAGGACAUCAACGAGUCUCUCCAAAGAUCCACUCCUCUCCAUCCUGUUCCGGUAGAGAUGGAUCUGCAACACAUGAGAAGUACAACUCCUUUUUUUGCGGAGGUCGCAUAUCUUCCAACGUCGGAGAUGCUGUCGCCGCAGUUAUG